rnacentral:misc_RNA from 1 species
UACGUAGGAGGCAAGCGUUGUCCGGAUUUACUGGGCGUAAAGGGCGCGCAGGCGGUUGGGUCCGUCGGUGGUGCAAGCUCCAGGCUUAACUUGGAGAGGUCCAUCGAUACCACCCGGCUUGAGAACGGUAGAGGAGUGCGGAAUUCCUGGUGUAGUGGUGAAAUGCGUAGAUAUCAGGAGGAACACCCGUGGCGAAAGCGGCACUCUGGACCGAUUCUGACGCUGAGGCGCGAAAGCGUGGGGAGCAAACCGG